rnacentral:lncRNA from 1 species
CAGAUUUAAUGUGGUUUCAAGACACUUUGUGUUUGUAAUUGAAAUAUGUAAUUCGUAAUUCUGACUUUCAACAGAACUUAACUAGACUUGUGGGUCCUUAUCGAUUGUAUCUGCUCUUUAAAGUUUUUAUUAAGUUUUUGAUUUUUGCAUGAACCCCCUGAGGGGUUCAUGCUUAUAUAUUGGCGAGUUUUGGAUGUGUCUAUGGGCCACUCGAUAUCUCUCGGCCGGAAGUCAGAAUAAAAUUCUCGGAACGUCUCGAAAAUAUUCGGUCAUUUAUACAGGUCUUAACAGGUUGUUAUCUUCGUCUUGGAUAUGAUCCCUUGAUGGCCCUUGACGACGCAAUUAUAUUUAUUUUAAAACGACUACUGUACACUUUGUGUAUCUGGGUCAAUUAUAACGUGGUAUUUCCUGUUGUUUUGAUAACAUGUAAACUAAUUAUUUUUGAAGAAUUAACCACAGGAUACUGUGUAUUUCAUCAUAGACUUACGGGAG